rnacentral:lncRNA from 1 species
UUCCCACCGUCGGGACCGUGAUGGCGCCUAACAUCACUCGCUAGGCAAGACAAUGUUAGAGUUUUAUUGACCAUUUUCCUUUACAUUUUAUUGAUUAAAAUUUACAAGCUAGAACAAGUAUAGUGCUCAUAAAAGAUCUUGCAUACCUAGAUUUUCUGCAGCUAGACUUAACCACGCCUCCCAAAAGUAUAGUGCUCCUCUGAAUUUAAUUCCCAUAGAGCUGGGAAGUUCUCUUCUGGCUGAGCACCACAACAGUCACACUUUCUUCCAAAUUGCCCAUAUCUAAUUGGAAAUCUUCAGUUGGUCAUACUAAUAUUUAAUGAUGUUAGUCACGUGUCUAAUGACUAUGAUUGAACAUCAUAGUGAAAGCACCUCUCGACCUCCCAGAGCAGGCACAAAAAGAAAAACACAAUCAAUCUUCUUUUCAGCCGAUGGAAACAAAUCAAAUUGCAAAUGCAAUAGGCACCACUGCAAUUAUUUUUGAAUAAUGAUUAAAAUCAAAGAAAUUUGCAAAUCUCUUUAAGAAACUAUCAUUCUUUUGACCAUAAAAGGUCCUUACAUGAAAUUUGGAGAAUUACAUGUUGGUUAAUGAAAACACAUCAUAAGCAAAAAUGCUAACUUUCUGAAAGGCCCUAAAUCACCAAAAGAGAGGGGGAAAAAAGUAAAAUUACGCAAUUUGCCUUAGUUUUUUUUGAAAUUAUGCCAAUUUAUAUAAUCAAAACCGGAGUAAAAAAUAUGGCAUCUGAAACCCAAGAAGAUACUCAAAGCUGAAUAAUUUCGGGACGAAAAAAUAAAUUACCGUCAAAAUCGACUACAGUAGUUCAGUUGCACAAUUUACCAGCCUCGAUCGCUUCUUUUUUGAGUUUCCAGAUAGCAGUCUGAUAUUUAUCAUAGUUGUCCGUCAUCAGAGAAGUACAUUUCUACCUGUGGCCAAGUUCCAC